rnacentral:rRNA from 1 species
CCUACGGGAGGCAGCAGUGAGGAAUAUUGGUCAAUGGUCGGGAGACUGAACCAGCCAAGCCGCGUGAGGGAUGAAGGUACAGAGUAUCGUAAACCUCUUUUGUCAGGGAACAAAGGCGGGGACGCGUCCCCGGAUGAGUGUACCUGACGAAAAAGCAUCGGCUAACUCCGUGCCAGCAGCAGCGGUAAUACGGAGGAUGCGAGCGUUAUCCGGAUUUAUUGGGUUAAAAGGGUGCGCAGUCGGUCUGUUAAGUCAGAGGUAAAAGCCCGGGGUUAAACCCCGACCCGCCGUUGAAACUGGCAGUCUCGAGUUGGAGAGAGGUAUGCGGAAUGCGUGGUGUAGCGGUGAAAUGCAUAGAUAUCGCGCAGAACUCCGAUUGCGAAGGCAGCAUGCCGGCUCCACACUGACGCUGAGGCACGAAAGCGUGGGUAUCGAACAGGAUUAGAUACCCGGGUAGUC